CAAGAGAGGGAAACCUGGGACUUGGGUAACUGGGGCUGGGACCUGGGGAAACGAAUGGGAACAGGCUCAACGCUGCUGCGGCUCUACUUGGGGCGCGUUGUUGGAACACUAUAGAGUCUGUUUUUCGUGUGGAUACAAUAAUUUGGAACCUGAUGUGUUGCCCAGAUCGCAGUUGCGAAUUGAGGAGAGCGUCGAUUCUGCGGCACUCGACAUGCGUCCGCUGGUAAUGAAAACGAAUCGUCCCAGAUGAGCCCGACAACCAACCAGCCAAGCGGUCAGGUAACGGGAACAGGCUCGAACGCUGCUGCGGCUCUACUUGGGGCGCGUUGUUGGAACACUAUAGAGUCUGUUUUUCAUGUGGAUACAGCAAUUUGGAACCUGAUGUGUUGCCCAGAUCGCAGUUGCGAAUUCAGGAGAGCGUUGAUUCUGCGGCACUUGACAUGCGUCCACUGGUAAUGAAACCGAAUCGUCCCAGAUGAGCCCGACAACCAACCAGCCAAGCGCCUACCACCAGUCUUCAAAGCUCUCGCAUUUUCAGCGUGCAUGAAGUGCUCGGCGGUUGAAACACGAUUCUCGUGGCACAUGGCUGCUGGCGGUGAGGGUGAUGGUAAGGGUGAAAGCGUUCGUGACACAUAGUGACUGCAUCCAGUAGGAAGCAAGUUUAGUCUGUGGCUCCUGAUGGUGCAGGCGGAGCGCUGCUUGCCAUGGCCUCAAAACACUGCGCUAACAUGCUGCGCCAUGGGAAGCUGCUGGAGCUGGCUGGUGCAUGUCGCCAAACGUCAAAGGAUUCUGGUGUCACUGUUGGAUGGAGAACAUUAUAUCAUGAACCCUUGUUGUCAACAUUUUAUACUGAACAUGUGAUGUUACUUUUUC
rnacentral:lncRNA from 1 species